ensembl:lncRNA
CUUGAUGGGGUCUAUAAAGUUAGAUUUGGACCUUCCUUCAAUCACACAGAAGUCAACGGCUUCAGUCCAGGGUCCAUUAACGUUGACGCUUCUCUGAUAUUCAACAACGUGUCCAAUCUAUCGAAUGACACUUCUGCAGCUGCAGCUACGGCUUUAGUAGAGGCUGUUUCCAGCUCAAAUUUUUCUUUGUCUAUAAACUCAUCAUCAAUUACUGCAGCUGGUAAGCUUAUUAUUAAUGAUCAAUAAAAAGAAACCUGCGAAACAAAGUGUAAUAAAUUAGAUUUGGAAAGAGAUUUAACAUCACUUCUUGUUACUUUCAGUUUUUACACCUACUUUACCUCCAGUCACGACAACAACAACAACAACAACAGGUAUCAUCAACAUAAACAGUCCAUGAAACAUUAACUCUGCUCAGUUUGAUGGUUUAAAUACUGAAUUAGGUGUAAUUAACUUCACAUUUUGUGUUUUGAUGUCACAAUGACCAGAUUUCUAUUAUCACGUGAUUUACAUAUGUUAGAGGAAAUCUAAAUAAAUUUGCACCUUGCAGCAACGACCAACUCCACCGCCCAGCCGCCGCCACCUACCAACUCCACCACACAGCCGCCUCCACCCACCAACUCCACCACACAGCCGCCUCCACCCAUCAACUCCACCACACAGCCAUCGCCACCCACCAACUCAACCACCCAGCCGUCGCCACCCACCAACUCAACCACCCAGCCGCCUCCACCCACCAACUCCACCACACAGCCGCCUCCACCCACCAACUCCACCACACAGCCGCUUCCACCCACCAACUCCACCACACAGCCGCUUCCACCCACCAACUCCACCACACAGCCGCUUCCACCCACCAACUCCACCACACAGCCGCUUCCACCCACCAACUCAACCACACAGCCGCUAUCCACCAUACCAACACCAACAACUGUCACCACGGUUACUACACCCACUACCACCCCAGCAACUACAACAGCUCCGACCGUGGGGACAGUGUUUCGUUUGCUUUUUAGUCUACAGCAACAAUUUUCAUCAGCGCUUUCGACCCCAGGUUCACCACAGUUCACCGAACUAAAGGGUAACAUAGAGACACAGCUUACUCCAGUCUAUGCACUAAAGUAUGGAAGACUCUUCGUUCGAUUCAUUGUCUUUGGCUUCAGUCCAGGAUCUGUUGUGGUAAACUCUACUGUGGAACUCAACGAUACCACGACAAAUGCCACUGAUGUAGCUACAACUUUACAGGCUGCUGUUACCAGCGGGAAUCUUACCCUCAAUAUCAGCGCAUCAUCUAUAAAUGCAACUUUUGUCCCAGCUCCACCAGCUACAACUACAACUACACCAGUGGUGAUUACAUCUGCAUUCCCAGGCAACUCAACCGUACAGCCGACAACAGCGGCCAACGUCACCUCACCAACACCAACAAAUGUCACCACGGUUACUACCCCCACUACCCCCCCAGCAACUACAACAGCUCCGACCGUGGGGAGAGUGUUUCUUUUGUUUUUUAGUCUACAGCAACAAUUUUCAUCAGCGCUUUCGACCCAAGGUUCACCAGAGUUCACCCAACUAAAGAGUAACAUAGAGUCACAGCUUACUCCAGUCUAUGCACGAAAGUAUGGAAGACUCUUCGUUCGAUUCUUUGUCUUUGCCUUCAGUUCAGGAUCUGUUGUGGUAAACUCUACUGUGGAACUCAACGAUACCACGACAAAUGCCACUGAUGUGGCUGCAACUUUACAGGCUGCUGUUACCAGCGGGAAUCUUACCCUCAAUAUCAGCGCGUCAUCUAUAAAUGCAACUCUUGUCUUAACUACAACUACAACUGCACCAGUGGUGACUACAACUGCAUUGCCAGGCACCUCCACUACACUGGCGAGUGCCACGACGCCCACCGCCACCACAACCACCACCGCACCGGCGAGUGCCACGACAUCCACCACCACUGCUGCUUCAACUGUAGCUUCCACAACAACACCUGCUCCCACCACCACCACCCCCAAUACAAAUGCUCCUUCACCCAGUGAAGGAUUCCUUUUCUUUAAAUUUAGCCUCAACCAAAUCUUCACCUCAGACCUGGCUGAUAAUACCUCAGCUGGUUAUCAGGCCCUGGCUGGAAAAGUGGUCACAGAGGUAAGUUGUCUGCACAAGAUAAUUGUUUUAAACAUUUUCCUACCUUUUUUAGCAGUAUCAAUUUAUACUAGGGAAAUUACUAUCAUUAUUAUUUUUUAUUUCUGCCCAGUCUGUUUUCGUUAGACAGCCUUUAAGUGUCACAUCCUAAUUUUUGUCAAAAUGAUAAAUUCAAACUAAAAAUCUUUCACUAUAAAAACUGCGCACAGAGCAGUUUACAGAAUUCAAUGAAUUAACGUCCAUACAUUUUUCCCUAAAUAAUCCUGUUACAACCUCAUUCUCGUUCUAAUUAUAAUGGUUCAGGUUACUGUUCUAAAGGAAUUCUUUAUGCUCAAUGCUCUUUAUUGUUGUGGUUUUGCUGAAAUGACAAAAAUGUUCUCUUUCAGUUAAACAGAGUGGGACAACUGCUGUACCCAUCUUUCCGUCGCUCCCGGGUUAAUUACUUCCUGUAAGACAAAAUUUCUGUGACAUACUUUUGCCACAUAUUUUCUUGUUACUUUUUUUUUUUAAUCAUGUGGUUUUUCCUCUAUCAAUGCAGGAGUGGAUCAGUAGUAGGCAACACAACUCUUGUCUUUGACAAUCAGUCCUCAACUCCUGCUGCAAGCAACGCGUCUAAUGCUUUUGCUCAACAACUUUUGAACAGCACCGUCUUGAACUUCAUCCCAGGCAGCUUCUCUGCAAGUAAGUUACAGUAUUGUAAAGCCUAAUCCUAAUCUGUCAGUUUGACAUCCAGUUGUCUAAUAUGUUUAAGUAAAUUUUGGGGUUCAAUUGGAAGAUAACUUUUUUUUUUCUUGUUUUAGAUUCAUCAAGCAGCCUUUGGUCCACUUUUGGUUCAUUGUUGGCCCUCUGUCUAACACUAUUCACUAUGGGACAGCUGCUGACGGACUUCUAAUCAGUGGCCAAGGAAACUGACUGACUAAAUACACUGGUGAAAGCUACUGACCAAGUGUGGGAGGACAUGCCCAGUAACCAAAAUCAAGUUUGCACUAUGAAAUUUACCAGUUCAAUACAUUGUGGUAAAUAGAUGUGCCAAGAGUCCCACACUAAGACAUUUACUCAGGGUUUUAAGAUCUAAAUUUCUCUUAGACACUUGCCUUUUAAUAAGUACAUAUAAUGGUAAUGAAGAAUAUGUUAUCUAAAUGCCUAAUAUUUUGUUUUUCAUUGGCAUUAAUAUUUAAAAAUAUAAGGACAUGAUUAUAAAAACAUGAUAAGUAUUUAUAUAUUUACACAGUUUGGCAGCAUCCACUUUACAUCCACAAACACAGUUGCUGUUUGGUAAAAUGCAUAUAAAAAAACAAUUACAGUUUGCUGCAAUUAAUCACGUUUCACAGAAUCAUCUGAGAUCUAAACACGAGGCAGUUGAUCUGCCUUUUAUUGAGAUGCUGACUGCUAUUAUCAUACUGUCAAAUAAGAGUACGAUGAUACAACAAAUUGUUGAUUUUAAUAUAUUUGAUGAAAGUCCUAAAUGUAUUGUAUGUUGUUUGAAAAGGGAAAUGAAACAAAUGUCAAUCAGAAAAUUAUUAAAAUGUUUACCCAUAAAAUAGCUUUGUUGGGUUUUUACUACCUACAUUUCCAAGGCUUUAUUUGACUUUUUUUUUAAUAAAGAUUAAUAGAGUAAUAGGGUGGGGUAUUCU